CUGUCAACACAACUGGUACACUCACCGGAAUGAAAUAUAACGAAAAUAUUUGAUAACAACAACAACUGCUACAGUGGAGUGUGUGUUUUAUUAAUCUGCGUCCUUAUAACAAACGUGACAAACAGUGUAUUUUACCAAAUAUGCAUAGAAUCAAAAGAAGUUCCAAAAUAUAUUGAAUAUAAAAUUUUUGUGGUCUAGAAAACAGCGCAUAUAAUAAUUGAAAAAACGUAUUAAAUUCCGAAACAUAUAAAUCUCAAUUACUUAAAGCCAUUUUGGCAAGUGAUUACUUAAAUCAGAUCUUCAAUUAACGGCAAUAAUCUGCGAAUAAUGUGUGGUACGUGAUUUGAAGGCAAAAGCGAGAAAUGUGCGAAAUAAAGGCGAUGCUUCACGUAAGAAAGCGUUUGCUCAGGAGUGAUAUUAUUAAGUCAAUUUGAAUGUGUCAAUAUAUAUGUUUCAACAAAAGUUAAAGAUGUUAGAGAAGAAUGCAUGCUAAUAAACGCAUAGUUGUAAAAUUUCUAAGGAGACGAAGUGAAAAAUUUAACUAAUUAUAUUACAGUAUAGAAUAUACUUAAGACGACAUCAGCGCAUAUUUAAUUAUACAAUAUAUGUGUACAUACAUUAAUUGGACUGUAUGCAAAUAUACAAAAUAAAUGGUUUCGUAAAUAUUCUUUACGCGUCCUUUU